rfam:Mustela putorius furo unplaced genomic scaffold scaffold00130, whole genome shotgun sequence.
CUGGGCUACGGAGACAUGUAUCCCAAGACGUGGUCAGGGAUGCUGGUCGGGGCCCUGUGUGCCCUGGCCGGGGUGCUCACCAUCGCCAUGCCCGUGCCCGUCAUCGUCAACAAC